AAAAACCUCCGCAGACACUCCCGUCGAUCCCUCCGCCGAGAUCGCCGGAACUCGACUAGCGGCUGCCGCCGCCGCCUCCGUCUGUCCACAACCACGGCAGCUACCACUCAUGUCCAGGUGCCGGCCAGUGCUCAGCCUCCGCCAGACUGCCAGUCUUCUUCUUCCCAUCAGCUACUCCGAUCCCAACUUCCAAGGAACUGUCCCUUCAGCUGGUGGGCAGUUGGUUCCACCAUUGGUACCUGCUCUGACCUCACUUCCGAGGUCGCGACCAAGGUAGGCGUCUCUUCCAUUUUAUGAGAUCUCUCUGUUUUUUUUGUUUUUGUUUUUUUGGUACGGGUGGGCGUGUUCUUCAAUUUUGGAAGGACGCAUAAAAAUAAUUGUGGAUGAAAUGGAGCGAUUAUGACUUGAAGGAGCGAAAUGUGCUACUUAAGAGGAGUUUGCUUAUACAUUUAUGCUCAUGUGUCGAAACAAACCAAUAUCCUGACCAAUAUACUUGGUCAGAAGAGCAACGGUCUUUUGUUUGAAACAAGAGGAAGCCUUGCUUAUUUUUUUCCUUCUUUUUAACGAAAUAUUAGAAGGAAAGUAGGUGAGCUUCCGUUGUCGCAAUCCUUCUUCAACAUGGUUUACUGUACCAUUGCAAGAUGUCAUGCACAGUGAAGACCAUGGAAUAUACUUCAACUUCAGUGGCUUGAGGCUUGGAGUGAAUCCCUGCGAAACCUAUCUCUUAUUUUCUGCAACUCUUUCAGAGCAUCUCCAAUUUGUGCACGCUCUGUUGGUGUCUCCAUUGAGCAUGAAAUUCCAACACGCAGAAUAGAUGUUAUGCAAGCAAUCUUCGCAUCUCUAGUUCUGUUAUAGUCUGAGGUUAUAUUUUUGAUGUCAUCUGGCCCUUGUAGCAAGCGUUUGUCAACAAUGUUAGCCACUUGAUCUGGCACUGACAUUUUAACAUAUUUAUGAAGGUUGAAAUCGUCACCAAAUUCACUGUCUGUUGGUCUUUUUCUUGUAAACAUCUCCAGCAAUAGUAUACCAUAGCUAUAGACAUCACCAUGGGCUGAAACCUCAUUGCCCAAUCCAUACUCUGAAAAUUUACAAGAAAUUGCGAGAAAACAACAGAAUGAGUUAAUUAUGUACAUUUGAUGAUUAUACAUAACUGAUUUCACAAUAAUUCAUUUUUUAGGGUAUGGAACUAAUGGAUAUGUUCUUACUUUUGCCAUUUGUGGUGAACAUCUAAGUUUUGCCAACUUGUUCUAAUAUACAGCCUCCUUCCAUCAACGUAAGGUUUAUAUAAUAUGCCUGUUUAGUGUAUAAAAGUUGCACCAUAAUGAAUUUAUAUUCAAAGUGGCUUCGAUGAUUUAAUUUGUAGUGAUCGAUAAUAUAUUGUACAAGAAAUUAAGGAUCAUAAUCUAAUAUGGAGUACUUGUCCCCCUAUCAAAAUACACAUUAUUUUGAUAAACAGAGGGAGUAACCAAUAGGUGAGAUAAUGAUAAAACCUGUUUGUUAGAUACUGAUAAAAGCUAGUGAUAAACAAGAGUAGUUGUAAAUUCACCUGGAGCAGCAUAUCCAGUUGUUCCUCUCAUUCUAGCCCAUGCACUUGAUUUCUCAGAACUGACAUUGUAGUCUUCAUGGUAGAACCUUGCCAGCCCAAAAUCGCCAACACAAGCAACCAUGUCAUCAUCAAGGAGAAUGUUACUAGGCUUAAGAUCGCAGUGGAUAACUGGCAAUGGUUUGUGCUGGUGUAGAUAUUCAAGUGCAGAAGCCACAUCAAUAGAAAUAUCUAGUCUUUGGAUGAGGUCAAGCGACUUGUAUUCACCAUCUACCUCAAUUGCCUGGUGCAACCAAUGUUCUAGAUUUCCAUUUGGCAAGAAUUCAAAUACGAGGGCUUUGAAAUCGAGGCCUCUAAAGUCCACACCUGAGCAGACUGUUAAGAUCUUCACAAGAUUACGAUGCCUGACACAUCUCAAAGUCUCACAUUCUGCAGCAAAACUUUGAGGUGCCCCGUGCUGUAGGAGAUUGAGCACCUUUACAGCAACCAUCACUUGCAAAUUAUUAAUCACAAUUUUCCCCUUGAACACUGAGCCAAAGCUCCCUACUCCAAUGAGGUUUCCUGAUGAGAAACUAUCUGUUGCACGGGCCAAUUCAGCAUAUGAAACCCUUAUCUGUCGCUCACUGAUUGUUGAUGGUGCUUGGAAGUUCAGCUUUGUCUUCUUUUUCCAAAUGAAGAAUACAAACAGUGCAAACAUACUAAGUAGACAUGCACUGCCAAAGGACAUUGCUAUUAUAAGCCUCAAAGGUGGCUUCUUGGUACUGUGGCUGGAGUAAGGUGGCAACUUCAACUGAGGUAUACCGCCACAUAAGCCAUAAUUUCCUAGGAUUGUGGUAGAAGAUGCAUUUUUGAAAAUUCCAUCUUCUGGAACUUGACCUUUAAAGUUAUUGAAUGAAAGAUUGAGAGUAGAAAGACCUCUCAUGUUAGCAAGGAACUCAGGGAUGUCCCCAGACAAAUUGUUGUGGGAAAGAUCUAUCACCAAAAGGCCUUUCAUCUGCUCUACUGAUAGUGGAAUUGUUCCUUGAAGGUUGUUCUGUGAUGCAUUAAGAUAUUGCAAUGACUGGCACGCUCCAAGGGAGACUGGAAUCUCUCCAGAUAAUUGAUUACCUGAGAAAUCUAAUUCCCCAAGAUUAUUGAGAUUACCUAGUUCUAUUGGCAAAGUCCCAGUUAAUAGAUUAUUUUGAAUGCAAAUCAUACAGUGUUUUUAUAGAGAAAAUUUCUCUAGGUAUUGGACCGAUGAGGCUGUUGGACGAGAUGUCUAAUGUUUGUAAUCUAAUGUUUGUAAAGGACAUCCCAUAAGGCUAGAAGGUAUGCUUCCAUUAAGCAUAUUGUGACCGAGAGAAAUUAUGAUUAAUUUUGUAAGAUUGCCGAUGGUUGGAGGGAUUGAUCCUGAUAGGUAA